UGUGGCGUUGUGCAUUGUUAGGUCGGAGAAGUACAGUGUUGUUGUGAUGAUGAAAAAAGAAUGUGUUAAUGACAAUUAAACACGUUUUCGCCGAAAAUACUGAUGAGGCGCCAGUAGCGAGACAGAACCAGACGAGUCUUUCUGAGACAAAAGCAGCUCGUACAGCCGGAAGACAGCAACAGAUCGAAGGUAACCAGCUUUUCGAGGAGGUUGAAGGCUUAUUAUAUACUUCUGGAAUCGCUGAUUGAUCGAUCAACAGAAAAAAUGUGACAAAUGCAGCACUUCGAUGCCACGCAAAAGACGCCUGGAGGAAUACCCUAU